GACGAACGCUGGCGGCGUGCCUAAUACAUGCAAGUUGAGCGCUGAAGGUUGGUACUUGUCCCAACUGGAUGAGCAGCGAACGGGUGAGUAACGCGUGGGGAAUCUGCCUUUGAGCGGGGGACAACAUUUGGAAACGAAUGCUAAUACCGCAUAAAAACUUUAAACACAAGUUUUAAGUUUGAAAGAUGCAAUUGCAUCACUCAAAGAUGAUCCCGCGUUGUAUUAGCUAGUUGGUGAGGUAAAGGCUCACCAAGGCGAUGAUACAUAGCCGACCUGAGAGGGGGAUCGGCCACAUUGGGACUGAGACACGGCCCAAACUCCUACGGGAGGCAGCAGUAGGGAAUCUUCGGCAAUGGACGAAAGUCUGACCGAGCAACGCCGCGUGAGUGAAGAAGGUUUUCGGAUCGUAAAACUCUGUUGGUAGAGAAGAACGUUGGUGAGAGUGGAAAGCUCAUCAAGUGACGGUAACUACCCAGAAAGGGACGGCUAACUACGUG
rnacentral:rRNA from 1 species